UACGGAGGGUGCAAGCGUUGUUCGGAUUCACUGGGUAUAAAGGGUGCGUAGGCGGCGCGAUAAGUCAGGGGUGAGAUAUGUCGGCUCAACCGACAAACUGCCGCUGAAACUGCCGGGCUUGAGGUCGGGAGAGGGAGGUGGAAUUCCAGGUGUAGCGGUAAAAUGCGUAAAUAUCUGGAGGAACACCAAUGGCGAAGGCAGCCUUCUGGUCCGAUUCUGACGCUGAGGCACGAAAGCUAGGGGAGCAAACGGG
rnacentral:rRNA from 1 species